UUCUGGGUUGCAGAUACUUAAGCAGAGCCACGUCUUUUCUGUAAUGCAACACAGCAGUUGCAUCAAAGCAGGAGAUUUAGGCAGCGAAUAUUAAACCAGGCAUUUACAGCAUGUUAUGUGGUUAGAGGGGCUACAGCAGCCUGUGAACGUCAGGGCAGCUCCCUUGCCACACAACUGGCACAGCAAUGCCAGCGCAGAUUCAGGAGUAAAGACAAUGUUGAGGUUCAGCUGCAACAAAAGUGUGGAUACGGACAGAUUUUGACAUGGCCAACAUCACCGGUCAGCUGCCAGUGAUGUACUCAUUGAAAUACGCCGGUACUCAGAGGAAGAAUUGAGUCCCUGAGAUAAGCAUCCACUGGUUUGGUGGCAAGAACAUGAACAAACCUUCCCAUCCCUAAGCAGACUUGCAGUGUGAUACCUGGGAAUUGUUGCUUCUUCUGUACCUGUGGAGAGAAUCUUUUCAAAGGCAGGAGAGGUUAUGAGCAAAAAAACGCAGUGGACUUAAAGGGAAAAAUGUAAAUAUGCUGCUGUUCCUAAACAAAAACCUGUGGAUGGGGGAAAGUGUUUUACAUUUUUUUAUUGAAAUGUUCAUGCAAGUUAAAUGGUAAGAUAUACAUGUU